rnacentral:rRNA from 1 species
AUGAACGCUAGCGGCAGGCUUAAUACAUGCAAGUCGAGGGGCAGCACGAAUAGCAAUAUUUGGUGGCGACCGGCGCACGGGUGCGUAACACGUAUACAACCUACCUAUAACAGGGGGAUAGCCUUUCGAAAGAGAGAUUAAUACCCCGUAAUAAAUUGAGUGGCAUCACUUGAUUUCGAAAGCUACGGCGGUUAUAGAUGGGUAUGCGUCUGAUUAGCUAGUUGGUGAGGUAACGGCUCACCAAGGCGACGAUCAGUAGGGGAUCUGAGAGGACUAACCCCCACACUGGUACUGAGACACGGACCAGACUCCUACGGGAGGCAGCAGUAAGGAAUAUUGGUCAAUGGAGGCAACUCUGAACCAGCCAUGCCGCGUGCAGGAUGACGGCCCUAUGGGUUGUAAACUGCUUUUGUACCAGAGAAAACCUACUCACGUGUGAGUAGCUGAUAGUAUGGUAAGAAUAAGCAUCGGCUAACUUCGUG